GCAGUAGAUGCUCUGUUUAACUGUUUUCUGUUAACUGUUUACUGUUUGCUUGUGAAAUGCUCAGUUUUUCCACUUAGACUUACUUUGCGUCCUGUAAAUAGUGAAUGCGCUCUUUGCGUGACGCAGCUGACUCUUAAAGGGAAUAGGAGACGAGACUCUGAUUGGUUUAUUCUCAAAACACACCUAUAACUCAUUAAGAAAAUAAACUCAACCCUUUUAGACCAUGCGCCGAAGCGCAAGGCAGAUUUCCCGUCCUUAAAUUAGCAAAAACGCGUCCUGACACGCCCUGAAAGCGUUUGCGCCCUGCGUUUUGCGCUUUGCGCUUUGCGCAUGGACCGUCAAAAUAGAGCCCUUAAAGUUCAACUAAAAUACAACAAACAUGAAUAAUAUUAGCUUCCUCUCCUCUCUCUGUCUCUUUGUCUCUCUCUCUCUCUUUCUCUCUCUUUCAGAAAGAGCUGAAGGAUAAAAUGGCGCAGUACCCCAGUCCAGAGGAGCUGACGCAGUGUGUGACAUGGGAAGUGAUGCAGGCUGCGCUCAUCAGCGAGAAUCCGAAAACCCAGGAGGGUCUGCACGCUGCUAAACACACCGAACCCGUUCACCCUUCGAGCCUAGGGAGCCAAGGUAAUAUGCAUUCGCCUUCCAAUGCAUCUGAUGGGGCGCUGUGCGCUGGGAUGGGCCGACAAAUGUCACGAAUCAGCAUUGGGGCUGAGCGCUACCCAGAGACUGUCGGGGCUCUGAUGGAUUUGGCCAGACUGAAAGACAGGCAAGAGAGUGUGGAGGCCCGUGUGGCGCAACUGCAGGCAAACAAGGCCGAUCUGAGCCAGCUUCAACAUCUGCAUGAUCUCCUCACUGCCAUAGGUACAACACCGAAAGCAGCGGCGCACUCAGAAAUAUGCUUUAUUAUGUCUAUCAUCUUUGCACUUGACAAUGGGGCGUUGAAUUAUUAG
rnacentral:lncRNA from 1 species